ensembl:lncRNA
CCUCGGACGGUCAGGCUGGCGGUGGAGGUAUGACGGCCCACGGUGAAGGUCACAGUGCCCGAGUCGGCCUGGGUGACCCCCCUGAGGGUGAGGCUGUGCACCUUGCCCUGGGCACGGAUCAAGUUCAUCUCAUUGUUCUGCAGAGGGACGUCAGCAAGCUUCCACUGGACGUCCUUGGCAUUCUCAUGAGACAGAUGGCAUUCAAAGUAGACAUCCUCCCCUUCAAGUACCGAACAGCUGUUCAAGACCUUCACUAUGGUCACCAGCUCUGUUUGAUAAAGUCAGUCAGUGUUACUGGCUAUUAGACAAUCCUUGUCUAAAUGGGGUGUUAAUGUUUAGCUGCCAAGAGAUACAUUCAGUACAGUUACAGAACAGAAACAACUGUGACAAGCAAAGUGAAAGAGACGCACAGUUGCUCCUGUCAACAUAGAAGAAAGACAAAGUGGUGGUAUUAAGGUCAAUCUUCUUAACAGCCAGGUGGAAUUUUAACAGAGGUAGAAGUGAAGAGGAAGAUGGAAGUGUGAAGGAGAUGAAGGACAUUGGAUGAAUUAACUGAAUGAGGAAAUGGGUGAAGAUCCCCCAGAGGUUUUCAUUCUGAGCUCUUUAGGACUAUUGUCCUUCAAAGUCAUGUGUGAUUAGUCUUGUGGGAAUCACUCAGGUUGGAAAGUGGUUGGUAGGGAAAGAGUGAAAUACAGUAAGAAGAGAAACGCUGUGGUUGAAGGUUAAAUAGAGACAAUGCAGAAGUCCCCUACCCUGCACGGUGAGCGUGGAACAAGUCUUCUGGUAACCCGUAUCACAGAUAUACUCCCCAGAGUCAGAACCUUGUAGGUUAUAGAUGAUCAGCUUUACGACGGCCCCUUCCUGUUUCAGCUGAUACUUGUUGUUAGACUCCAGAACCCUGGUGCCCUUGCUCCAGACAACGCUGGCCCCGGGUUUGGUGAUUUCACAUCGGAGGAUUGCAAUCUCAUCUGCGUCCCAGUCUAGAUUCUGUAGUCGGGUUUUGAAAUAAACUGGUAGGGCUGGGUAGAAAUAGUGGAGUUUGGGAGAAACAAGACAGUAACAAGUUUUGAAGGCUUUUGACCACAGUUGUUAGAUAAAUGAGGGAAGGUCUGAUUUCGUUCAACAACUGCUAAACUGGGAGAGGUUUUUCUUAGCAUACCCUUUACAGCAAGGUGUGCUGUGGAUUUCCGGUCACCACUGUCACAGGUGUAGCAGCCAGAGUCUUCUGGGUCUAAGCUGUGGAUGACUAGUCUGACGCUGUGCCCUUCCUGGAGGAUUUCAUACUUGGCACAGGCACAUAGACCCACCUCCCCCUUCCUCCAUUCCACAGACACCCCAGGUUUAGAGAGCUCACAGUGCAGGGUAACUCUGGCCCCCUCCUCAACCUCUUGGCUCUGCAGGUCUUGGGUGAAUGUGACUGGAAGAGCUGGGCAAUUAGGAAUUGAAAUAAGUAUCUAUGCCAACUGGGACAAGGAUUAAAAAAAAAGACAUAGCUAAAUUAUGAUGUUAAUUGUCCAGGAGAAUAUCUCAGUUUGGAGAGGCUCAAUAUAUGGUGACACAUUAAAAGAUCAUUUAAGAGUGCUCUAUUCUCAGGUUGGUGUUCAUCCAUCUAGGUCAACAAAUAUUAGAAGACCUGAGUGUGUCCCACCACCAUAUAGUGGUUUACACAUCAUUUGACAACGCCAGUCCAGCGAGUCCAGCACUGCAAGAGGAAUCCGGGUCUCUGUCUAGAUUCAAUAUUGUACACAGAAUAUACCUAGUAUAUAAUAUUCUAACUAUUAAAAAGGAGUCUACAAUGAGGAACAACAAGGCCAACAAUAGACAACAAAGAAAAAAACUGCAAAGUUGCAGGAGCAACUGGUUUCACUACCAAUAUUGAUUCAUUAGAUAUUCUGCACUUGACAGAUGGAAGGGAACAUAGCCGAAGAAAUCUGUGUUGUAUCCAAAACCUUAUCCAAACACUGUCCACAACCAUUAGUGUAGCUUUCUUUAUUUUUACUGCCAUUUUAGAAGCAUGGCAAACUAUAUGCAGAUAAAACAAAGCUUUUAGGAAAGAGACAAAAAUCUACUUUGCAAAUAAAAGAGUAAAUACUUUCCCAGUAAAUCCACACAGCUUUCCAAAACACUAAACCAUGUUCAGAGAUGUUAGUUUAUUUUCUGCAUGGAGCCUGGAUUUGAAUACUUUUGAAGAAAGUUCCUUGUUCACAAAAACUCUUCUUAUUGGUCCAAGAAACAGAAGGGUUCCAUCUGAUUGGUCCCAGUUGUUUGUCCAGAUCAAGAUCAUAUGGGUAAAGCAAAGGGUCUCUGGCUAUGACACUUUGGUUAGGAAUGUAUCUUGUUUUUUUACAAAACCAUUAAUUUCUACAUAAACAAUGACUAUAGGUGUCUCCAACUGAAAUAUGGAUCCAACAGUAGAGGAUUGGAAGACUUCAGUAGUCAGUCAUAAGUAACAAAUAAUAAAAUGUUUCCUUAAAAUACACCAUAAGCAAGCUAUUUCAAAGUAAACAAAGCUUAAGUCAUCAAACAGCGUGUAUUUAUAUUAACACCGACCGACACUCUCGUUGACAAUGUCACUUGUAACAAAAGAAAACCACUGACAACAAAGUGCCAAGCUAUUCAUCCUUAUACUUCCCUACCAUAUACUUUGGUCACCUAGGUCUGAAAUACUGAUGAGGCUAUGAGGCUAACUUCAGGAAGUCAAGUUAUUUUGCACUGGGACAGUUAUACAUUUUAUAAGAACCUAACAAUCUCUUAAAAGAGCAGACUGGAAUGACCAGCAGUGAUGCAAAAUCCAUAUAAUUACAUAUUGGAAUAUUCUGAAACAAGCCUUUUUACUUUUUUAGCUUGUUCUUCAACAUUUUAGAUUUGUAGUUUGCAAUCUGUCUGAGAGAGAACUCCUGCUAAAAUAAAUUUGCAGAGCAAAUAGUAAGCUUUGCAUUGGAUUAAAUUUGAUAUCAGAGCAGGAUGAAGAUGCUACGGUACGGAGACACGUGAAAUCACAUUCAGUCACCCUUGGAUUUAUUACAUUCAUUUCAGAUGAAAGAAAUCUGCAUUUCUUAAUGUAAUAAAAUGUGGCAAAUACAUAAACAUAUAAAUAAAAUGAAAGCAGCAUCCACUACACUGCAGUUGCCUGAGUGGGCACAGAGGCCAGCCAAUUUUGUGAGGUCUCUGAAAAAUGUCCAGCACUAAGAACCAGCAAAAGCCACAAGGAAAGGGGAGCAAACUGAAAGGCUAAAAUAAUUUUGUGACACUACUUGCCUUAAGAAAGAAAGUAAAUUUUUUUAUAAGUAUAGCAUGAAAAUAGCUAACAUUUUCCCAGCAGGGGCUUCUAUUGUGCUGUCUUCCACUGUAACCUUCUGGAGCUCCGGUUUGGGAGUAGUUGAAGUCAACAUAGAGACUAUGACAAAACACCAAUAUGAUACCCUAACUGCCCUAACAUGAAUGAUGCAGAAAAAAUAUAUACUAAUUGAGUCACAAUGUCAUAAACUUUACAUACAUGUAGAUCCUAUGUGACCACUAGACAGGUUUAAUAUAAACAGGACUGUGUUUUUUCCUAAAAGGGGCUUUUUAUGUUUUCUUUUUUCUAUGGUUUUCACCUUCUGUUUGAGGGGAGUGGGAGCAUGAGUCAAAUAUACUACCAAUAGAACACAACAUUAGCUACACAUUCCUAAAGCAACAAAUAUUAAUUUAUAAAUACAUUUGCCAAAGAGCAUCCGUUCUUACACCAUGCAUUCAUUAAACAAUUAUAAUAAACUGAAUUGAACAACACAGUAUUUCAACUGAUGUAACAGAUGAAACACUAGUUAAAUAGACUGUUAGCUUGUAUUCCUAGCAUGUGCUUCUACUACAGUCUUAUUUUCUAAAAUCAGCUCCUUCUGGGGCUCUUGAUUGGGCAUGGCAUGGCUAUAACAAAACAUAAAAUGGUGAUGGUGUAUACAGUGCCCAUAGUAAGUCUUCACCCCCCUUAAACCUUUUCACAUUUUGCUGUGUCAGUUCCCCCCCACUUAUCUGUCCAUCAGUGCUCCCCGAGGAAUAUGACUUCGCUUGAAAAGUUUUGUAAGGAAUGCAAUCUUCAAGUCACAGUUGUGAUUAUUGUGAUUAUUAUAGGUUGGGCCAAUCAAGGACAUUUACCUCUUGAUUGCUCAGCGACUCCACUGUAACUGUAUGUUUCAGAUAGGUGCCAUUCAUUCCAGUUUCACCUUUCUUGCAGAGGGCUCAAGGAUGUUUUCCUCAAGGAUGUUUCUCUAAAUCGCUCUUUAAUUUUCUAUCCGGACAUGAAACAUUUCUAUAACAUGAUGCUGCCAACUCCAUGCUUCACAAUAUGGAUGGUGUUCUUAGAAUGAUGACAUAUUGGGUUUGAACAAAAAAUAACACAUUGCAUUUAGCCCAAACAAUUACAUUUCUUCUAAAUGUAUUGUCACACAGCUACAUAAUCUCUUGAGUAUUUUCUUGUAAUUAUUCAAACGGGGUUCAAGGAGGGUUAACUAUCCCACCAUCCAGGACAGAUUUGUAGAUUGGUUGAAAUGAUGUACAUUUCAAUUCAGCAAUAAUAUCCUGCAAACCUAUGAAAUUUGCCUUGGCCCCUUGGAAGCCUGUCUAACCAGUUUCCUACUUCUCGGGUUAUCCAGUUUUGGAGGGACAGCCUGGUCUUGGUGGUGCUGCAGAACUCCCACUUGUUAAAAAUCAUCUCAGACAUGGUCCAAGAGAUAUUCAAGGCCUUUGACAUUAUUUGUUCCUUAGUUAUUUAAAAGCUCCUUGGUGCUUAUUAUUUAGUGCCGGCUUUGGAAUUCAUAAGCAAAUGGAUGCCACUUACGGAAACUACUGAUUUUAUCAUGAAAUCAUGUGAUUCAAUACAGUUAAAGACAGGUGGACUCCAAGUAACACAGUGUGGGAUUCUGAAGGUGAAUGGUUAGACCUGAGCUAACUAAAGAUUGUUUUUACAAUUUUAAAGGGGUUGGAGACUUGUCCAAUUCUAAUAUAACAGUUUUGUGUUUUAUAGUUCAAUUUUAUAAUUAUAAAAAUAAAUACAACCUGAAAGUGUAGAAUAUAGUCUGUAGAUAUUCUUACUAAAAUGUGUUCAACUCUAAGGCACAGUCACAACAAAAUAUGAAAAUUGCAAGUCACACAAACAGAAAACCUGACAUUAAAUCAGGUUUAGUGAAUGACAACCAUCAUACAUGCUAUACACAAGUUUAAUCAGAGACCCCAAAAUGAGUCCAGAAUGCUAAUGUUGCAAAUAAUGUGCACUUAAACAGAUGUGAGGAGAUUAUGCAUAGGCAUGCUGAACAGACAACAGACAACUUGUCUUUUUCUAGGGGCUUUAACAUCUGUGUUCCCUUUCUACUAGCUCAAUUCUGGGGAUGGAAGGUUCAGCACGCUUUAGAGCUAUAGCAGAACACCAAAGUGACUACCAAACGUAACUUGAUAUUUUCUCUGGAAAGCAGGAAGCUCAACCAAACGCACAUGCAACGUUAUACAAUUUUAUACCAUUACUUUUUGUACUGGCCUAGCCUUUUUAAGCAAGUGCCAUCCUCUUACCAAGUCAGCUACAUGGAACCACAACAAUUUUAGUGACAUCUGAUUGCCUUUCAUAGCCACCAUAGCAAAUGAGAGACAAACACACAACAAGCUUACUGGACACACAAUCAGGACCCAAGAAAGAUGUUUGCUUGAGUAGACUGGCUAAAACGCAGACGUUCCUAUGAGGAAAGUACCCACCAUGAGCUUUUAGAACGGCCUCCUUUGCAAAUGUCUCCUCCCUCAGGGGCUCCAUUUUAAGAGUGGCAGGAGCAACAGGAUUAGAGGCUAUGACAGAACACCAAAAUCACUACAUACUCUCAAAAUGUGAUACACAAUGCUGAAGCCACAAAAGAUGUUCUCUUAAACAUAUACAAAUGAGUGCAAGCUACUACGCACAGAUACGAUUCAAGGAGACAACAGAUAACUCGUCUUUCCAACCAAGGGGCUUCUACUGGCUUCUUCUCUACAGUUUAUUUCUUAAGUUCCAUAGCAGGAGUAGCAGGAGCAAAAGCAGGCUUAGAGACUAUAACAAGACACGAUAAUAACUAAACAUAAUUUUAAUGCAUUUCAAUUGUUAUUGUCUUUUGCUAUUGUUUCCUAAACUUUUUCCUUCUGGAGCCAUGGUUUGGUGGCAACAGAAACAGCAGUUUUGGCAAAACACCACAGCUGAAUAUUCUCUAACUUAAUUCCAACAUGAGCUCUACAAUAGAAAACAGUUUUUUUCUUCUCCUACCAUGCACAUCUACUUCUGUCUUCUUUUCAACUGUCUCCUUGUAGGGCUCUUUGGUUGCUUGCUUCAGAAGCUCCUGCUUUCUGGGAGUGACUAAAGGAGCUGAGGGUUUAAACAUUUCACUUUAAAUCUCACUCUGGGUUGUGUAAGGUCACAAAAGCAUGCCCUCCAAGUACGCAGAGGCUAAAAAGGACAAGCAACUGAAGGUGACAGCGUGUACAGACAGACAAGGUUAGCAUUCACAUACAAACUAAAGAUCGCCACUGGCAAAAAAAAAACCUGUUGUAUUUCCCUUUUUCGAAGACUGAUGGAUGACGAACCAAAUUUGUAGUUAAUUUCUGACAAGUGAACAAAAAUAACAUUUUGUUAAUUACAACCAAGCCACCAUUUUAAUCCUCCCUGUGCACCUGACUAACAGAGGAAGGGCAUAAUCUGUACAGAGUAUUUGAAAGUUCUUCACUGGAAAUAAAAAUUAAACCAGUAAUCUUUUUUCAAUUAUUCAGCAAAUCUGCACAAUCAAUAGUACAACUAAAACUGAUUACCUGACUCGUUGCAUUGCUCAGACACAGAGUUUACAGUAUUUUGAUCACUGGCUAUCUUUAUUGGUUGCCAUCUGCCUAGUCAGAUUUACAUUUGUCUUUGCGUUAUACAACCAAUCUGAUAAUAAUGUGAUUUAGAAAUGCAACACAUUUUUCUUGACAUUUUCAAUCCUCAACCAACUGAAGGACAAGUCAACAGCACAGAUUGAGCCAAGCGUUCCUACCACAGACUUCUACUGCUCCCUUUGUCUCCAACUUGAUAUGCCCUUCUUUAGGGACUACAGGACCCACAGGCGUUGGAACUACAGACACUAUAAAACAUGAAAUUAAAAUCAACUGAAAAUCUAAAAAAUUAUUAUUGUGAAAAACUUUAACAGUGCCAUUAAAAACAUAGCCAGCAAUAACUCUGAUUCCACAUUCCAAACUUUAUAACUACAUAAUGCAAAUACAAUAACAACACCAUUAUGCAAUUUGUUAAAUUUUAAAAAUGACAGACUGAUAGAAGAUCUGACAACAAAAUUUUUUCAAGGAUGCUUACUAGCAUAAAUAAAUCAACAACAUUCCCUGACACAAACAACAACUUGAAACAAAGGCCAAACUUUCCAAAUCUACCUUCUUCCUUUUUGACCUUCUGCUUCUUGAUGUCUUUUUCUGAGAUGAGUGAGGGAGAGGGUGGCUUCGGUGCUGUCAUAAAACAUUGUUGGUAUGACAACCACAACAUUUGUUAGCCUGACACCAACCAACAGAUAGCUGGUCUUUUUCUAAGGGCUUUAACAUCUGUGUUCCCUUUCUACUAGCUCAAUUCUGGGGAUGGAAGGUUCAGCACGCUUUAGAGCUAUAGCAGAACACCAAAGUGACUACCAAACUUAACUUGAUAAUUUCUCUGGAAAGCAGAAAGCUCAACCAAACGCACAUGCAACGUUAUACAAUGUUAUUCCAUUACUUUUUGUACUGGCCACUAGCCUUUUUAAGCAAGUGCCAUCCUCUUACCAAGUCAGCUACAUGGAACCACAACAAUUUUAGUAACACAGAUUGCCUUUCAACCAAACCAAAAAGUGGACAUCUGUAACAUGACAAAACUACAAAUACCAAAGUGCAGGACAAACCUGUAAUAUGCAUAUCUGACAAAACAACCAACACAGUAGACAAUGUAAUCAUUACCAUUAGAGAAUUAAAGACUUCCACACCCAGCUCCAGCAUGACUACUUUUGUGCUUUUGGGACAACAGCAGAAGCUGGUGGCAUCAGCCUGUGAUAGCAGGCUGUCUAACUCAACAAUGCAUACUAACUGUUACAUAAACUGGAAAGCAAAAAACAUGGUCACAACAAGUGUGAAUCACAAACAGUACCUUCUGUCUGUUUGGUCUCCUGCUUCAGGGCAUCCAGUGGUGUAACUUCAGGGAUUGGAGGUUUCAAAACUGCGAUAAAUCAGGCCAAAAAAAAAACAUCCAACAAUGCAAUAUCUCAAAUUGUACCUUCAACAACACUGGUAAAAAUACUGCUAAAGCUAUCAGUCAAGAAAUGUUCCACACAACUGCAGCCAAAGAAAAAACAAUGACCGGGCAAAACAUCUGUCAACAAUAAAACGAUAGCAACAGACAGAGACACAAAUGCCAUUUCUACUGAGAUUAUUCAAAUAAGUGAAUAUUGAGAAUAUGGGCAACAAAUCAAGCAAAAACUUAAAACCAGCCAACCGCAUGAACAGAGAAAAAUAAUGCCCAUUCACAAACAAGACACCUGACAAAGCCAAACCGCAACUAACAGAUAACAGAACAGACCAACUGAAAACAUCUGAGACCAUUCAUCCUGUAACGUAAGCAAUAAGUGAAAACCAACAGACAACAUGGAUGGAUUCUAGGAGCAAUAAAAGGAGAGGAAAUCUUUCCACACAGUAAAAUGAUAAACAGUGGAACAAACAACUACAACAAUACAUAAGCGUUUACAGACAUAUCUUGAAAGGCUAAGCAAUAAAACAAAAUGUUAAUCUCCUUGUCUUUCCCUACCAUCUCCUCUUUUUGUCUCUUUGUUCAGUGGCUCCACCUGUUUGGAACCUAUAGAUGGAGCUGAAGUCUUGAGAGCUGUGAUAAAACAUCAAAUAUAAAACCUCAUAACCCAUAACUUAGAAUAGCAGCAAACCUUGUUUGGGAAGGCCAUAAUCCUUUAAUAGACACGUAGAAAUACAUUCUCAGACCACUGCCCCUUCCCCUCCAAAAUGUGGAAGGAAACACAUUUGAAGGCAUGACAGAGAUAUUCACAUAAACUGCACUUGAACUCAAGUUGUGUACUAAUGCAACCCUCUUCUUCAAGAUUGUCUUGACACAGUCUGUGACAGAAAUUGGACAGACUGGACGGACAAGAGCAGCAGAAGCAAGCCCCAGGCCUAGACACACUGGUCAAAGCUCUAGAGGAACCAUGAAUGUGCGGUUGAAUCCCCAGCAAAUGCCAUGGAAGAUGGUAAGAAACGUUUCACCAGUCUGAAGCAUUCCUUUUUUGGAAGGCUUCUAACACUUUCGUCAGCCAGCUGAGUUAAACAGGCAAAGGAAAAGUCACCAGUGUUUGGAAACUCUCUCACAGACUAUACAAAAAAAGGUUUUACUCUACAGCAACAACAUCAAUUGGCAUAGUUACACUCACUAUUAUGGACAGAUAAAUUGAAGGUAAAUGUUAUAGAAAUAUGUUGCAGUUUUUGUCAGAAAAGCAUCACACCUUUGAUUCAGUGUGAUGAAGACUGGAAAAUCUGAGAAUAAGAGUCAAAAUUCUUUCACAAGGAAGAUGGGGAUUCUAAUAGGCUCAUUAGCCUCAAAAGAUGGAAUUGCUUGUUGUUCAUGUGCGUAAGCGAUAAGAGGGUGCAUACCAUAGUUACUCGUACAGAUGAUUAACAGGUAGGGCUUCCAGGAAUAAUUGAGUUAUAACUCUUGACUUGGUAUCUGGGUAAGUGUCUUACUGUCUUUUUAAUUAUCGCCAACAUAUUUUAAAAUAUUACGUUUAGAAGGUACGCUAAUUGUAUGUCCGGUCUAAUGAAUUAGAAUGUAAACAUGUUAACUCUCUUACCCUUAACCUUGAGACUGCAUGUAGUCUUCUGGUCUCCACACACACAGCUGUAGUCUCCGCUGUCUUCUGGUUCAACUUUGCUGAUCAGGAGUUCACUCACAGAUUUCUUCUGCUUCAUCUGGUACUUUUCCCCAGACUUCAACACCUUUGUUCCCUUCCUCCAUUCCACAGACACCCCAGGUUUAGAGAGCUCACAGUGCAGGGUAACACUGGCCCCCUCCUCAGCCUCUUGGCUCUGCAGCUUUUUCAUGAAUGUCACUGGCUGAGCUGAUGAAUAAAACAUGACCAUGUAUUGUAAUUGUAACUGCAGCAACACAUGAUUUUUCAACUUAUGACAAUGACAACAAGUAAUCCAAACAGAUAAUGGAGACACUAUGUAAAGCUUUGAUAACCCUAAACAAUUUAAUCUACACCUCUAUGACAAUGAAAAUAUCGUGUUCAGCCAAUAUGACAAUACGCAGGUGCAACUGAGAAGUUCAAAACAUUUGACCAAACGGAAUAACAUAGUUCGAACAGAUCGACUGACACAAACACACACACACACACACAGAUGGACAAACAGAAGACCGAGACAGAUCAGACAUCAAUAAAAUUAAACAUAAAGACACAAAACACUGGCGCCAAG